UACUAGGUGAACCUGCGGAAGGAUCAUUG
rnacentral:rRNA from 1 species